rnacentral:tRNA from 2 species
GGCGAGAUACUCAAGUCUGGCCCAAGAGGCAUGCCUUGAAAGCAUGUGUGCCAUCGCACGCGGGGGUUCAAAUCCCCCUCUCGCCA